rnacentral:rRNA from 1 species
CCUACGGGAGGCAGCAGUGGGGAAUAUUGGACAAUGGGCGCAAGCCUGAUCCAGCCAUACCGCGUGUGUGAAGAAGGCCUUUUGGUUGUAAAGCACUUUAAGCGAGGAGGAGGCUCUUGAGGAUAAUACCCUUGAUGAGUGGACGUUACUCGCAGAAUAAGCACCGGCUAACUCUGUGCCAGCAGCCGCGGUAAUACAGAGGGUGCGAGCGUUAAUCGGAAUUACUGGGCGUAAAGCGCGCGUAGGCGGCUUGUUAAGUCGGAUGUGAAAUCCCCGGGCUCAACCUGGGCACUGCAUUCGAUACUGGCAAGCUAGAGUAUGGGAGAGGAAGGUAGAAUUCCAGGUGUAGCGGUGAAAUGCGUAGAGAUCUGGAGGAAUACCGAUGGCGAAGGCAGCCUUCUGGCCUAAUACUGACGCUGAGGUGCGAAAGCAUGGGGAGCAAACAGGAUUAGAUACCCUGGUAGUCCAUGCCGUAAACGAUGUCAACUAGCCGUUGGGGACCUUGAGUCUUUAGUGGCGCAGCUAACGCGAUAAGUUGACCGCCUGGGGAGUACGGUCGCAAGACUAAAACUCAAAAGGAAUUGACGG